rnacentral:piRNA from 1 species
CAUUCAUAUAAGAAUCCAGCAGC